AUGAACGCUAGCGACAGGCUUAACACAUGCAAGUCGAGGGGCAGCGGGGGUAGCAAUACCCGCCGGCGACCGGCGCACGGGUGAGUAACGCGUAUGCAACUUACCUAUCAGAGGGGGAUAACCCGGCGAAAGUCGGACUAAUACCGCAUGAAGCAGGGAUCCCGCAUGGGAAUAUUUGCUAAAGAUUCAUCGCUGAUAGAUAGGCAUGCGUUCCAUUAGGCAGUUGGCGGGGUAACGGCCCACCAAACCGACGAUGGAUAGGGGUUCUGAGAGGAAGGUCCCCCACAUUGGUACUGAGACACGGACCAAACUCCUACGGGAGGCAGCAGUGAGGAAUAUUGGUCAAUGGCCGAGAGGCUGAACCAGCCAAGUCGCGUGAGGGAUGAAGGUUCUAUGGAUCGUAAACCUCUUUUAUAAGGGAAUAAAGUGCGGGACGUGUCCCGUUUUGUAUGUACCUUAUGAAUAAGGAUCGGCUAACUCCGUGCCAGCAGCCGCGGUAAUACGGAGGAUCCGAGCGUUAUCCGGAUUUAUUGGGUUUAAAGGGUGCGUAGGCGGCCUUUUAAGUCAGCGGUGAAAGUCUGUGGCUCAACCAUAGAAUUGCCGUUGAAACUGGGGGGCUUGAGUAUGUUUGAGGCAGGCGGAAUGCGUGGUGUAGCGGUGAAAUGCAUAGAUAUCACGCAGAACCCCGAUUGCGAAGGCAGCCUGCCAAGCCAUGACUGACGCUGAUGCACGAAAGCGUGGGGAUCAAACAGGAUUAGAUACCCUGGUAGUCCACACCGUAAACGAUGAUUACUAGGUGUUGGAGGAUUGACCCCUUCAGUGCCGCAGUUAACACAAUAAGUAAUCCACCUGGGGAGUACGACCGCAAGGUUGAAACUCAAAGGAAUUGACGGGGGCCCGCACAAGCGGAGGAACAUGUGGUUUAAUUCGAUGAUACGCGAGGAACCUUACCCGGGUUUGAACGCAUUCGGACCGAGGUGGAAACACCUUUUCUAGCAAUAGCCGUUUGCGAGGUGCUGCAUGGUUGUCGUCAGCUCGUGCCGUGAGGUGUCGGCUUAAGUGCCAUAACGAGCGCAACCCUUGCCACUAGUUACUAACAGGUAAAGCUGAGGACUCUGGUGGGACUGCCAGCGUAAGCUGCGAGGAAGGCGGGGAUGACGUCAAAUCAGCACGGCCCUUACAUCCGGGGCGACACACGUGUUACAAUGGCGUGGACAAAGGGAAGCCACCUGGCGACAGGGAGCGAAUCCCCAAACCACGUCUCAGUUCGGAUCGGAGUCUGCAACCCGACUCCGUGAAGCUGGAUUCGCUAGUAAUCGCGCAUCAGCCAUGGCGCGGUGAAUACGUUCCCGGGCCUUGUACACACCGCCCGUCAAGCCAUGGGAGCCGGGGGUACCUGAAGUCCGUAACCGCGAGGAUCGGCCUAGGGUAAAACUGGUGACUGGGGCU
rnacentral:rRNA from 1 species